rnacentral:rRNA from 1 species
UACGGAGGGGGCGAGCGUUAUUCGGAAUUAUUGGGCGUAAAGGGCGCGUAGGCGGCUUGGCAAGUCAAAGGUGAAAUCCCUCGGCUCAACUGAGGAACUGCCUUUGAAACUGCCUGGCUUGAGGCCGGGAGGGGGUAGCGGAAUUCCCAGUGUAGCGGUGAAAUGCGUAGAUAUUGGGAGGAACACCAGCGGCGAAGGCGGCACUCUGGGCUGGUAUUGACGCUGAGGAGCGAAAGCGUGGGUAGCGAACAGG